GGUAGCGAAAUUCCUUGUCGGGCAAGUUCCGACCUGCACGAAUGGCAUAACGAUGGCCACACUGUCUCCUCCUGAGACUCAGUGAAGUUGAAGUGUUUGUGAUGAUGCAAUCUCCCCGCGGCUAGACGGAAAGACCCCAUGAACCUUUACUGUAGCUUUGCAUUGGACUUUGAACCGAUCUGUGUAGGAUAGGCGGGAGCCUGUGAAACCACAACGCCAGUUGUGGCGGAGGCGUCCUUGAAAUACCGCCCUGAUUUGUUUGAGGUUCUAACCUGGGACAGUCAUCCUGUCCGGGGACCGUGCAUGGUAGGCAGUUUGACUGGGGCGGUCUCCUCCUAAAGGGUAACGGAGGAGUGCGAAGGUACGCUAGGUACGGUCGGAAAUCGUGCUGAUAGUGCAAUGGCAAAAGCGUGCUUGACUGCGAGACCCACAAGUCGAGCAGAUACGAAAGUAGGUCAUAGUGAUCCGGUGGCUCUGUAUGGAAGGGCCAUCGCUCAACGGAUAAAAGGUACUCUGGGGAUAACAGGCUGAUACCGCCCAAGAGUUCAUAUCGACGGCGGUGUUUGGCACCUCGAUGUCGGCUCAUCUCAUCCUGGGGCUGUAGCCGGUCCCAAGGGUAUGGCUGUUCGCCAUUUAAAGAGGUACGUGAGCUGGGUUUAAAACGUCGUGAGACAGUUUUGUCCCUAUCUGCCGUGGGCGCUGGAAGAUUGACGGGGGCUGCUCCUAGUACGAGAGGACCGGAGUGGACUCACCUCUGGUGUACCGGUUGUCACGCCAGUGGCAUCGCCGGGUAGCUAUGUGGGGAAGAGAUAACCGCUGAAAGCAUCUAAGCGGGAAACUUGCCUGAAGAUAAGUCUUCCUGGAGGCUAGACCUCCCUAAAGAGUCGUUCGAGACCAGGACGUUGAUAGGAUGGGUGUGUAAGUGCUGUGAGGCACUCAGCUAACCAUUACUAAUUGCUCGUGAAGCUUGAUCCU
rnacentral:rRNA from 1 species